rnacentral:rRNA from 1 species
CUACGGGACGCACCAGUGGGGAAUAUUGGGCAAUGGGCGCAAGCCUGACCCAGCAACGCCGCGUGAGGGAAGAAGGUUUUCGGAUUGUAAACCUCUGUCCUUGGGGACGAAGAAGUGACGGUACCCAAGGAGGAAGCUCCGGCUAACUACGUGCCAGCAGCCGCGGGAAUACGUAGGGAGCAAGCGUUGUCCGGAAUUACUGGGCGUAAAGGGUGCGUAGGCGGCAUAUUAAGUCAGGUGUGAAAUACUCGGGCUCAACCCGGGGGCUGCAUUUGAAACUGAUAUGCUUGAGUGUGAGAGAGGAAAGUGGAAUUCCUAGUGUAGCGGUAGAAUGCGUAGAUAUUAGGAGGAACACCAGUGGCGAAGGCGACUUUCUGGCUCAUAACUGACGCUGAGGCACGAAAGCGUGGGGAGCAAACAGGAUUAGAUACCCCAGUAGUC